AUUGAACGCUGGCGGCAGGCCUAACACAUGCAAGUCGAACGAGUGGCGGACGGGUGAGUAAUGUCUGGGAAACUGCCCUAUGGAGGGGGAUAACUACUGGAAACUGUCGCUAAUACCGCAUACCAUCGGAUGUGCCCAGAUGGGAUUAGCUAGUGGGUGGGGUAACGGCGCACCAAGCCGACGAUCCCUAGCUGGUCUGAGAGGAUGACAAGCCAAACGGGAACUGUGACACGGUCCAGACUCCUACGUGAGGCAGAAGUGGGGAAUAUUGAACAAUGGGGGCAAGCCUGAUGCAGCCAUGCCGCGUGUAUGAAGAAGGCCUUCGGGUUGUAAAGUACUUUCAGCGAGGAGGCGUUAAUCGCAGAAGAAGCACCGGCUAACUCCGUGCCAGCAGCCGCGGUAAUAC
rnacentral:rRNA from 1 species